rnacentral:lncRNA from 1 species
AAUUGAUACCAUUGAGAUAAUUACUGAUAGGCAGUCUGGAAAGAAAAGAGGCUUUGGCUUUGUUACUUUUGAUGACCAUGAUCCUGUGGAUAAAAUCGUAUUGCAGAAAUACCAUACCAUCAAUGGUCAUAAUGCAGAAGUAAGAAAGGCUUUGUCUAGACAAGAAAUGCAGGAAGUUCAGAGUUCUAGGAGUGGAAGAGGAGGCAACUUUGGCUUUGGGGAUUCACGUGGUGGCGGUGGAAAUUUCGGACCAGGACCAGGAAGUAACUUUAGAGGAGGAUCUGAUGGAUAUGGCAGUGGACGUGGAUUUGGGGAUGGCUAUAAUGGGUAUGGAGGAGGACCUGGAGGUCAGUUUUCCUCUACGUUUUGGUUUGUUUAUGUGACUAAUACUUAACUAUAUCGUAUAUUUACUUCAUUUAUAUUUUGAGUUUUUAAACAUUUUAUAUUAGUGUCUAUAAAUGGCUUGGGUGAUAGUGGUCCAG